CCUACGGGAGGCAGCAGUGGGGAAUAUUGGACAAUGGGGGGAACCCUGAUCCAGCGACGCCGCGUGAGUGAAGAAGUAUUUCGGUAUGUAAAGCUCUAUCAGCAGGGAAGAAAGAAAUGACGGUACCUGACUAAGAAGCCCCGGCUAACUACGUGCCAGCAGCCGCGGUCAUACGGAGGGGGCAAGCGUUAUCCGGAUUUACUGGGUGUAAAGGGAGCGUAGACGGCGAUGCAAGUCUGAAGUGAAAGGCGGGGGCCAAACCCCUGGACUGCUCUGGAAACUGUAUGGCUGGAGUGCAGGAGAGGUAAGUGGAAUUCGUAGUGUAGCGGUGAAAUGCGUAGAUAUUAGGAGGAACACCAGUGGCGAAGGCGGCUUACUGGACUGUAACUGACGUUGAGGCUCGAAAGCGUGGGUAGCAAACAGGAUUAGAUACCCUUGUAGUC
rnacentral:rRNA from 1 species